UCAGCUCCACUAACAGCCGAGACGCGGUUUGUGACACAUGUGGCAAGACCGCAAACCUUGUCAAACAGAAACAAAAGUAAAUUAUAACACAGAGUAUGAUGAUGAGUUUAUGAUGAGGCAAACUGAAGAGGAGGAGAGGGACAGGUGCUGCUGGGGCGAGACAAACAUAGCUCGCGGAGUCCUUUGGUGCUGCAGGCAGGCACUAUACAGUCUCAGAGGGAGGCAGCUGCUGGGAACAACAAAGAAAAAUGGAGUUCCUAUUGAAGGAAUCGUCCACUGAUGCUCUCUAAUGGGUGCUGUUGGGAUGGGAGAAAAGUGUGUUAUCUUCUCUGCGUCCUCUCCUGACACGUCGAGCUGAUAUUCCCCACCGGGGUCGUUUAAGUCUGAACUCGUCUGACCGAACAGAAUCUGCAGCCCAGCUAAGGAAACAAGUCAGUCGCCUGCCUUAACUGCUGUCAUCUUUCCUCAUCUCGUGACACCUCAGUGACACCCAGAGUGGCGCUCGGAGUCGCCUCCACCAACAUCCACCUUUCAAUCACACUUUCAAUUGCAAUUGCCUAAUUCUGUGCUGGGAUUUCAGUCCACGGCGAGGAUAUGAGAUUUGUCAAGCACGAGCCCGGGGAAGAACCUGCAUCGCAUAACGCGUAGACGUGCACCAUUUCCUCAGCAUGUGAACUGCAAUUCAUUUUAUAAAUGUCAGAUGAAGCCUGGCAAGCCAUCCACCCACCCACACACACACACACACACACACACACAAAUAGCGUGGUGGGUAAUAUUCUUAUUAGAGAUCAUUUUGAUUGGCUUCCGCUGCCCUUUUCAUUGUGUGAGCGACAGUGAAGGGAGAGAUGAUGAAGUGUGUGCCUAAAUGUCUGUGUGUGCACACUAUGCAUAUAUGUAUAUAUAUAUAUGUGUGUGUUUGUGUGUGUAUGUGUGUGUGUGUGCGUGCAUGUGUCAGAUGUUGAGGGUUUGAGGGUUUAUGUAAGCAGAGAUUAAAAAUGCAAUAAA